GCUCGGCAGGCUGGGCGGGAGCGCGCGUGGGAGCGGGGGAAAAAAUCUUUGUAUCGCCUCCCCUGGUGGCGAGGGACGAGGCAGGGAGGGAGAGAGGGACGGCCUCGGUGAUUCGGCGAUCGGCCGCGCGGGCUGGGGGUGAGGCUGCGGAAUCCCGAGCCGCGGAUGGGGCGGGAGAGGCAGCGCUGCCGGAACACGACGGGGUUAAGCUGGGUCGACCGCCAUUUUGAAUGGCGGGGAGGUCUUGCUGUUGCCCUGUAUAAGAAAACCCUACUGCUGAAUGUGCCUACAGGAAAAUGCAUAAGUAUUCAAGAAAAUUAUAUAAAUUUAAGCAUAAAACUUAAUAAAGAAAUAAUGUGUAAUAA